rnacentral:tRNA from 1 species
GCCCCCGUAGCUCAGCGGAUAGAGCGCCAGGCUUCGAACCUGGAUGUCGGCCGUUCGAACCGGUCCGGGAGUG